rnacentral:rRNA from 1 species
GCACAAGCGGUGGAGCAUGUGGUUUAAUUCGACGCAACGCGCAGAACCUUACCAGCCCUUGACAUCCCGGUCGCGGACUCCAGAGACGGAGUUCUUCAGUUCGGCUGGACCGGAGACAGGUGCUGCAUGGCUGUCGUCAGCUCGUGUCGUGAGAUGUUGGGUUAAGUCCCGCAACGAGCGCAACCCUCGCCUUUAGUUGCCAUCAUUCAGUUGGGCACUCUAGAGGGACCGCCGGCGACAAGCCGGAGGAAGGUGGGGAUGACGUCAAGUCCUCAUGGCCCUUACACCCUGGGCUACACACGUGCUACAAUGGCGGUGACAGUGGGCAGCUACUUCGCGAGAAGCGGCUAAUCCCAAAAAACCGCCCCAGUUCAGAUUGUACUCUGCAACUCGAGUACAUGAAGGUGGAAUCGCUAGUAAUCGCAGAACAGCAGGCUGCGGUGAAUACGUUCCCGGGC